rnacentral:rRNA from 1 species
AACCUGAUGGGUUGUUGCUGGUUCUCUAGGGAGCAUGUGCACACCUUGUCAUUUUUAUAUCUCCACCUGUGCACUUUUUGUAGACCUUUUCAGGUCUAUGUUGCCUCAUUUUACCCCAAUGUAUGUCAAUAGAAUGUUGUGCCUAUAUAUAAUAUAUACAACUUUCAGCAACGGAUCUCUUGGCUCUCGCAUCGAUGAAGAACGCAGCGAAAUGCGAUAAGUAAUGUGAAUUGCAGAAUUCAGUGAAUCAUCGAAUCUUUGAACGCACCUUGCGCUCCUUGGUAUUCCGAGGAGCAUGCCUGUUUGAGUGUCAUUAAUAUAAUCAACCUUCUCUUGUUUUGAGAAUGGUUUGGAUGUGGGGGGUUUGCUGGCCUCUCUCAAAAGGUUCAGCUCCCCUGAAAUGCAUUAGCAGAACAACCUUUGCUCAUUGGUGUGAUAACUAUCUACGCUUAUGAAUAUGAGGGGCAGUUCAGCUUUCUAACGGUCUUUGGACAAUUCAUCAUUAAUGUGACCUCAAAUCAGGUAGGACUACCCGCUGAACUUAAGCAUAUCAAUAA